AUGGCGUCUUCAGUUGGACUGCUUCCCACUCAGCUUCUGAACUCUUACCUGGGUACCACCUUGCGGACGAUGGAAGAUGUCAUUGCAGAACAAAGUGUUAGUGGAUAUUUUGUCUUUUGUUUACAGAUUGUUAUAAGCAUAGGCCUCAUGUUUUAUGUAGUCCAUCGAGCUCAAGUGGAAUUGAAGGCAGCUAUCGUAGCUUGUGAGAUGGAACUGAAAACCUCCCUGGUUAAAGGCAGUGAGCCAGACCCCAGUGGCCCUUCCUUCUACAACAAGAGGACCCUCACGUUUUCUGGAGCGAGAAGCAUAAGGCUUCGUGAAAGCCACAACACUGUACAUGUUUGAAAUUCCUUGUGAAGGACACAGCGGCAUAACCUGUUGAAUCCGUUCAGGAAUAAAUGGUGACUCUGUGAAUUGUGUGGCUGGGGCUUUUCUUUUGUGUUCUAAAUAGUAAUGACAUUUGGUUAACUCAGUGUGAAGAUGUUCCUAUAAAUUUAGAUAUAAGGAACUGGUUGUAUAACUCAAUGAUGGAGUGCAUAUGUGAGCCCUUAAGUUAAAUUCUCAGCACCAUCCACAUAAAACAAACCAAGUGUUUAUUUCUCUAUAUCAUAAAUG
rnacentral:lncRNA from 1 species